AGAAGUGAUUUUUUCAACUAAAUCAAAAUGCUAGCAAUCAGAAGCCUACUUAGAAACACACCCCAGGUUACCAAGAAUGUAAUCCAACAAAGAAAUAUGAGUGCAACCGCAGUUCCGGCCAGAAAUAAGGUUUCCACUGGUGAACUCAUCUUCCUAGGUGGUGUCUUGGUCAUCGGCUGGACCGCCGUCCCCGCCUGGGUACUCUGCCACAUCAAGAAUUACCGGGACAAGAACUAAACCAUAGACAUUAGUUUAUGUAGAUAUAUAUCUAUGGCAAGUUUCGUUAUUAUGUUAAGUAAAAGUGAUUUAAUCUAUUAAUAA